rnacentral:rRNA from 1 species
GAUGAACGCUGGCGGCGUGCCUAAUACAUGCAAGUCGAGCGAACGGGCGAGAAGCUUGCUUCUCUGAUAUUAGCGGCGAACGGGUGAGUAACACGUGGAUAACCUACCUAUAAGACUGGGAUAACUUCGGGAAACCGGUGCUAAUACCGGAUAAUAUUUUGAACCGUAUGGUUCAAGAGUGAAAGAUGCUCUUGCUUUCCCUUAUAGUGGGCUCCGCGCUGCAUUAGCUAGUUGGGAAGGUAACGGCUUACCAAGGCAACGGAGCAUGGCCGACCUGGAAGGGUGAUCGGCAACACGGGAACGAGGAACCGGUCCAAACUCCUACGGGAGGCAGAAGAAGGGAAUCUUCGGAAAGGGGCGAAAGCCUGACGGAGCAACGCCGCGUGAGUGAUGAAGGUCUUCGGAUCGUAAAACUCUGUGAUUAGGGAAGAACAUAUGUGUAAGGAACUGUGCACAUAUUGACGGUAACUAAUCAGAAAGCCACGGCUAACUACGUG